UACGAAGGGGGCUAGCGUUGCUCGGAAUCACUGGGCGUAAAGCGCACGUAGGCGGGUUGUUAAGUCGGGGGUGAAAUCCUGGAGCUCAACUCCAGAACUGCCUUCGAUACUGGCGAGCUUGAGUCCGGGAGAGGUGAGUGGAACUCCGAGUGUAGAGGUGAAAUUCGUAGAUAUUCGGAAGAACACCAGUGGCGAAGGCGGCUCACUGGCCCGGUACUGACGCUGAGGUGCGAAAGCGUGGGGAGCAAACAGG
rnacentral:rRNA from 1 species